UGCAAGUCGAACGGAAAGGCCCCAGCUUGCUGGGGUACUCGAGUGGCGAACGGGUGAGUAACACGUGGGUGAUCUGCCCUGCACUCUGGGAUAAGCCUGGGAAACUGGGUCUAAUACCGGAUAGGACCGUGCUUUAGUGUGUGCGGUGGAAAGUUUUUCGGUGCAGGAUGAGCCCGCGGCCUAUCAGCUUGUUGGUGGGGUAAUGGCCUACCAAGGCGGCGACGGGUAGCCGGCCUGAGAGGGUGUACGGCCACAUUGGGACUGAGACACGGCCCAGACUCCUACGGGAGGCAGCAGUGGGGAAUAUUGCACAAUGGGCGCAAGCCUGAUGCAGCGACGCCGCGUGGGGGAUGACGGCCUUCGGGUUGUAAACCCCUUUCGGCAGGGACGAAGCUUUUGUGACGGUACCUGCAUAAGAAGCACCGGCUAACUACGU
rnacentral:rRNA from 1 species